rnacentral:rRNA from 1 species
CCUACGGAGGCAGCAGUGGGGAAUCUUGCGCAAUGGGGGCAACCCUGACGCAGCCAUGCCGCGUGAAUGAUGAAGGCCUUAGGGUUGUAAAGUUCUUUUGCCCGUGACGAUGAUGACGGUAACGGGAGAAUAAGCUCCGGCUAACUUCGUGCCAGCAGCCGCGGUAAUACGAAGGGGGCUAGCGUUGUUCGGAAUUACUGGGCGUAAAGCGCGCGCAGGCGGUUCGAUAAGUUAGGGGUGAAAUCCCUGGGCUCAACCCAGGAAUGGCCUUUAAGACUGUCGAGCUAGAGGACGAGAGAGGUGAGUGGAAUUCCCAGUGUAGAGGUGAAAUUCGUAGAUAUUGGGAAGAACACCGGUGGCGAAGGCGGCUCACUGGCUCGUUUCUGACGCUGAGGCGCGAAAGCGUGGGGAGCAAACAGGAUUAGAUACCCUGGUAGUCCACGCCCUAAACGAUGAGUGCCAGGUGUCGGGAAGCUUAGCUUCUCGGCGCCGCAGCUAACGCCUUAAGCACUCCGCCUGGGGAGUACGGCCGCAGGUUAAACUCAAAGAGUAGUGGCGUGUAGAGNGUUCGACGAGCACGACGGAGGUUAG